rnacentral:rRNA from 1 species
CCGGCGACCGGCGCACGGGUGAGUAACACGUAUGGAACCUGCCCGCAGCAGGGGGAUAAGCGGAAGAAAUUCCGUCUAAUACCGCGUAACAACGUUGGGAGGCAUCUCCCGAUGUUUAAAGAUUUAUCGGCUGCGGAUGGCCAUGCGGCGCAUUAGCUAGUCGGCGGGGUAACGGCCCACCGAGGCGACGAUGCGUAGGGGUUCUGAGAGGAAGGUCCCCCACACUGGUACUGAGACACGGACCAGACCCCUACGGAAGGCAGCAG